rnacentral:lncRNA from 1 species
GUCUCUGUGGUGACGAGCAGGGCUUCAUCCAGUGCCUCUGUCCCCACCGAGGGGACUAUGGGAGACAUGGAGGGUGUGUGAGCAACAGGUGAGACUGGAGCCAGCUGAAAACUGGGAGACCGACCCAGCCAACAAACAAUGUCGGUCUCUGUCUUGGCACCUGCAGGAAACAAGCUCCUACUUCCAGAAAAAGUGCUCCUGGGACUCCAGGAUACCAGGCAUCUGGGUAAGCUACAAUGCUUAACCACUUAACACAAUCAGGAAGCAACAGCCAUGCAUUCGGGAAAGGAACUUCAGUGUUGUGUGGCUCAGUCUCCAGACCUAACUUUCCCUUUGGUACAGACGCGGUGGUACAUGCCUGUAAUCCCAACACUUAGGCAGGAGGAUCACUCGAGCCCAGAAGAUCAAGACUAGUGUGAGCAACAAAAUGGGCUUGGUGGUGGGCACCUGUAAUCUCAGCUACUUGGAAGGCUGAGGCAGGAGAAUUGCUUGAACCCGGGAGGCGGAGGUCACAGUGAGCCGAGAUCGCACCAUUGCACUCCAGCGUGGGCUACAGAACAAGACUCUGUCUCAAAAGGAAAAAAAAAAGAAUUCAGAAUUCACCUGUCGCCUGCUGCUGCAGUGAACAGUGAGUGGCAC